CUACGGGACGCUGCAGUGGGGAAUAUUGCACAAUGGAGGAAACUCUGAUGCAGCAACGCCGCGUGGAGGAUGACACUUUUCGGAGCGUAAACUCCUUUUAUAUAGGAAGAAGAUGACAGUACUAUAUGAAUAAGCGCCGGCUAACUCCGUGCCAGCAGCCGCGGUAAUACGGAGGGCGCAAGCGUUACUCGGAAUCACUGGGCGUAAAGAGCGUGUAGGCGGAUUAAAAAGUCAGAAGUGAAAUCCUAUAGCUUAACUAUAGAACUGCUUCUGAAACUCUUAAUCUAGAAUAUGGGAGAGGUAGAUGGAAUUUCUGGUGUAGGGGUAAAAUCCGUAGAGAUCAGAAGGAAUACCGAUUGCGAAGGCGAUCUACUAGAACAUUAUUGACGCUGAGACGCGAAAGCGUGGGGAGCAAACAGGAUUAGAUACCCGCGUAGUC
rnacentral:rRNA from 1 species